UACGAAGGGGGCUAGCGUUGCUCGGAAUCACUGGGCGUAAAGGGUGCGUAGGCGGGUUUUUAAGUCAGAGGUGAAAUCCUGGAGCUCAACUCCAGAACUGCCUUUGAUACUGAGAAUCUUGAGUACGGGAGAGGUGAGUGGAACUGCGAGUGUAGAGGUGAAAUUCGUAGAUAUUCGCAAGAACACCAGUGGCGAAGGCGGCUCACUGGCCCGUAACUGACGCUGAGGCACGAAAGCGUGGGGAGCAAACAGG
rnacentral:rRNA from 1 species